rnacentral:rRNA from 1 species
CCUACGGGAGGCAGCAGUGAGGAAUAUUGGUCAAUGGGCGCGAGCCUGAACCAGCCAAGUAGCGUGAAGGAUGACUGCCCUACGGGUUGUAAACUUCUUUUAUAAGGGAAUAAAGUGUGGGACGUGUCCUGUUUUGUAUGUACCUUAUGAAUAAGGAUCGGCUAACUCCGUGCCAGCAGCCGCGGUAAUACGGAGGAUCCGAGCGUUAUCCGGAUUUAUUGGGUUUAAAGGGUGCGUAGGCGGCCUUUUAAGUCAGCGGUGAAAGUCUGUGGCUCAACCAUAGAAUUGCCGUUGAAACUGGGAGGCUUGAGUAUGUUUGAGGCAGGCGGAAUGCGUGGUGUAGCGGUGAAAUGCUUAGAUAUCACGCAGAACCCCGAUUGCGAAGGCAGCCUGCCAAGCCAUGACUGACGCUGAUGCACGAAAGCGUGGGGAUCAAACAGGAUUAGAUACCCUUGUAGUC